UACGUAGGAGGCAAGCGUUGUCCGGAAUUACUGGGUGUAAAGCGCGUGUAGGUGGGAGGCCAAGUCUGUGGUGAAAGCGCCCGGCUCAACUGGGCAGAGUCCAUGGAAACUGGUCACCUGGAGGACGGUAGAGGCGAGUGGAAUUCCCGGUGUAGUGGUGAAAUGCGUAGAUAUUGGGAGGAACACCAGUGGCGAAGGCGGCUCACUGGACUGGUACUGACGCUGAGGCGCGAAAGCGUGGGGAGCAAACGGG
rnacentral:rRNA from 1 species